CUGUGUGAAGUGCUUUAUUUGCAUGAUUUCAUUUGGUCUUCUCAGCAACACUCUGAGAAGGGAGGUGCUGUUAUUGUUCCCAUUCCACAGAUGAGGAAACUGAGGGCCAGCAAGGGAAUGCCACCCAGCAGUGAGCAGCAAAGCCAGGGGGUGCUGAGCCCAGGGGGUGCCCUGUCUGCCUGCAGCUGUUAUUGAAGAUGUCCCUUUUCUCACCGUCAGGUUUUACUGGAACAGAAGAGAAAGCCAGUGAGAUACUAAUCAUUAGCAAUGUUAAUAUUACCUGAUAUUUAGUUGGCUUUAUGCUUUUACAAAAUGUACCUCCCUUUCUGUUGCCAGGAAGAUUCUAGAGCAUGUAGCAAGAAAAGCAAGUAAUUGUCUUUCUCUGCAGCCCUGUGGAAUCGUCGAAAGAGCACAUACUAUACCCUAAAAUUAAACCUAGAUUGAAGUUCUAGCUC
ensembl:lncRNA novel transcript